rnacentral:tRNA from 1 species
GCCGAAGUAGCUCAGUUGGUAGAGCAACCGCUUCGUAAGCGGUAGGUCGCGAGUUCGACUCUCGCCUUCGGCU